rnacentral:lncRNA from 1 species
UCAUGAUAGUAGUGGGGAGUCCAGUGGAGAAAAGAAGAUAUCCCCAUCCCAUAGAAUUUAAAAUCUUUGUGUAAACAUUCAUGUUUUACACUCAAUCGAGUCAGAUAUAAAAUCAGCUAUUUUAUUAAUUGAUCAUACGAGGCUGUCUACGAGCUUCUCAUAGCUUGCUCAUUUCAUAGCCCUACCACGUAUGGCUAGGAAACUAGGUAAAAGAAUGAUCAAAGAGAUGACUUGAAUCCUUCAACUCAAACAACCAACCAAUAUUUGGCAGCUGCUUCCGAGAUAGACUUAGCUAGGAGCCACGGAUAAGUGAACAAAAAACUAGUCCAAAAAUUAAUGUUAAAAAGUGGAUAUGAAAGCACCAACUGUAGCAAAGAAUUAUAGGCAUGGUACUGGCUUUUGUCCAAGGUCUCACAAGAUCCAUAGCUGCUAUCCAUAUGACAAUCUCACAUGCAAUUUCCUUUAGAACACUGAGCCCUCAAGCAAAAGAAAAGAUUAAGAAAAAAAAAAACCAAGCCAAACGUACCCAACUACACUAGGUCACAAAACCAAAGCCACAACACAUGGACGUACCUCCACCAGAAGAAACAAUAGAAACAGUGGUAAGAAGAUCCUAGCCUUGGCCAUGGGAAAUGGAGGGAGAGAUGAAGAAGCUACAGAGAGAGAGGCAGAAGAGCAGAGCAAGGAGGAGAGCAUAGGGUAUGUGUCCUUCUUAUAGGCCUGGGUUUGCAGAGGCACAAACUUUACGUGGGCGUCAUUUCGGGGUGGUCUCAUCUGUGCUCCACUUGCCA